GUUCUGAGCAUCCAGCCUCCAGGCCAGUGUUCUGUGACAUAGCAUCCCAUGAGACCACCGUAAGAGUCACCUGGACUUCCUAUCACUCAAAGAACCAAGAAUCUUGUACCACGUUCAUCUCUCUCCAACAACACGAAUUCUACGAUAAAAAUCCAUUUCAGUAUGGCAAGAUUUUUUAAGUCCACCUAGCUGGUGUUGAGAAUAACUCGAGGCAGAGGACGUUCAAUGAAAGCAGAAUAACUUUUCCUUCUUGAUUGGAUAUGCAGUAAAGAUAAAUGAUAAACCACUUCAGAGGUACAUAGAAUUAUGCUCAUUUUAUGACUCCUUUCUUCUUAGGAUCUCAGAGCAAUUAUGUAAAGAAUGCUCAUGUUCACAUUAUACUAAGGUACUACAUAUCUGCACAAGAAAAAGAGAAGCUCAUUCGCUGCCCUUCCCUCCACUCACUUUGUGUGUGGUGUGUGGGUGUACUUAAACAGUGUGCCUAUUUAUAUUCAAUCACAUAUGGACGCUAUAUAUGAAUUAGGUAUCUAUAAUGCAGAUAUUUUAAAUAUUUGUUUACCACCAACUGUUUAACUGGGAUUUCCAUGAAUAGAAUAAAAGAUGUAUGUGCUAAAUAUAUAUGUAGUUGUAUAUGGGUAUCUGGUACAAUUUACUAUUAUUUCUUUUUAUGGGCCAAGCAGGAAAAAAAGAAAACCAAAUAUUCUAAAUAAA
rnacentral:lncRNA from 1 species